AGGAAGAUUAAAAACAAUGAAUAAGAUACUGCUUGACACAGGUGAAACUUGCCCUCAGAAAUUAUAUAAAUUAAUACAUUAAGUAACUUAAAGAUCAUGGUUCUUGCAUGUUUACUGUUGCCGUGUAAUGGUUGUGGUCAAUAGCCAUUUUUGAAAUGAUGGUUUCCUUUUCCCUCCCUUUUUAUCAAAUGUGUGUUUUGUCCCAUCCUUCCUCAUCAAUACACACAUUGUUCUGGUCAUACUUUACUAUUCCUACUAGAUCAGUCUCUUUAACCUUGUGUAAAACAUCCCACAAAAAAUACAUAAAUAAAACCUCAUCUCAUUACCAUUGCAAAUGCUGCCCAGAACAUACUGUAUUCCCUUAGAUUAUGCUUUAAAGUAAGGCUCCUGAGAAGACUAGCCAUAAUUUAACUGGCUCUAUUUGGUACUCAGGACUGAAGAGUAAAAAUAACUCAUGAGGUAUGAUCAGGCUGCCUCACAUCUCAUCUUUAGAUGUUGAAGAGGUCACAGAGCUGGACACUGCCAGAAGAGCAGAUAGAAUACAGCUGAGUUCUCAUCUACACUGGCAAGCAGGUAUCCCCUAAAAGAUUACAGGAUACAACUAGUAUUCAAUACUAUUUUGAAGAUGGUUAGGAAUUACUGCCCUUUAAUUUUUCACAGAUCCCUUAAGUAUCAGCUAGUUCCUCAUGAUAACAUGAACAACUAGAAGGAUCUUGCACAUUACACUCUUAAGUCACCUUAAAAGGCUAUGGGUUUAUUAGGCUAAAAUGGAUUUUACUUUGGUUCACCAGUAAGGUCCUGUUGUCUGUCAGUGGCAGCUACGCUGAUGUAGUCUAUAUCUUAUGAUGCCUGUUAGCUAAUUAUGUUCUAAAAGCAAUACAAGAGGGAGCUUUUUUGAAGAUUCACUGAGCUUGCUGACUGCAAGAAUCUUCCUGAGAAACAAGGAAAAAACAGUGAAAUCAUUACUUCGUAACUAGGUUGAGGAUUUAUUUAUGCCCACCACUUCAAGAGGGCAGUGGUGUGCCCUGUUUUGAGUCAGUCAGACUUUAAUGAUACUUCUGGAUAAGGAAACAGCAUAAAUGACUUAGAGUGAAAUAUGGACGUUUUCCAGUCUGGGAGAACUGAGUAUCUCUAAAACACCCUCUUGAAGAGUCCAGCAUGAAAUCAAAUACAGUAUGAAAAUAUACUGCAAAUAUGCCAAAGUAGGUUAAAACAUUUUGCCUCAUCCUGCUACCGACUUAGAGCAGUAGAGUGCCAGGUGAAGACUGCCUUGUGUCUUUGUAAAAGUCAGUCUGCCUAGCAAGGUUCUAACACUACUGCCAUGUAAAUAACAAACUGGGUGACAGUCUCAGGGCAUAGCUCUGACAAGAACCAAAAGAAGGUCUAUUUGCUCCAGGGUAGUAUUUCUGUUUACAGCAGGAGAGUAACAGGCAGAGUCACUUCAGAACAGUAGGCAACUGAGGUGGGGAGACCCUAGGUCAAGUUCCAAGUCUUAUUCAAACCAGAGGCUUCGACGACUUGGGUCUUAUAGGUCCCAGGUAAAUAUCUUAAAAUCCCCUGAGAGAGAAAAAUCAAACUAAACCCAGCACAGAAAGAAGUAAAAGGUUGUUUUGUUAAAAACUAGGACUUGUGAUUUCUGGUUUCAGAGAGCAGCUUUUCUCUCCUUUACCCAGGGUAGCAGGAACAGGACAAUCCAUGUGGUGGAAGAGUCUAGAUAAAGGUGGUACCAAGGGCCAGUCUGGUGAGGCACAUGAAUGAAAUGCAUUGGAGGCAGCCUGCUUUCUGCCAGAUUGCAGCUGACUCUUUACAGAGGCAGCCUGGUUGGAACAGCUCAGUAGUCCACAUAUUCAGAAGUGACUGUGAAGCAAGGGGUCAAGUUAGAAAUGUAGCUAUAAGAUGAAGGCCAUAUAUUUUGAUUAAGGGCUUAACAAGGAGAUUAGGAAAAGAGUAAUUAUUACCAGAUGGGAAUAAUUGAAGCAAAGACAAUAUAUCAUGUAUUUGACUUAGCUGUAUUCUUAGAAAUGACAGGGAACAUAUGAAGGAUUGUUAAAGGGUAGGAACCAUAAAUACACCUGGCUUCUAACAAUGACUGGGCUCAGGAGAGGGAGUUUGGACAUGACCAAGGGGUCACAAAGUCCUGGCAACCAGAUAAAGGUGAAGGGUUUACCAUGAGGAAGACUUUUUACUUCAUCUUCAGAAGCCCACUGACCCAUUUCAAAGCCCUCUGACCCCACUAAAGCAGAUGACUGCGCAGCUGUAAUGAACAUUCAGCUCAUUGCAAUACCAAGCGGGAGCAAGUGAUGCAUAUGUAUGGGCGUUUUGGAUGUCUUUAUGAAUAUGUAGAGCUUUUGCAGAUACAUGGAGAAGCUACAGUUUUGGAAAUUUGCACAUGUCUUUGGAGGACUGCCUCCCAGUGUGCCCAGCAUGCUGAAUAAACAUGCCACUUCUCAACUUCAAUUAGCUGAAGAGUCUUCUGUCCAUGCAUCAUUUUGCCAAUUGCAGCAGGACUCCUCUAUUUACUGUGAGACCAAGCUGUGGAUGCCUCUAGGUGCCACUGGGAUAUUCCUGGAGAGACUUCUGCUCACCGUCUGCUCAUUGCAGGGACAGACAAGACCGCUGGCAUUACAGACAAAGGUCUUUUGCAGAGCCACAGUGGAAGGACCAUUCCAAGUGCUUCUCACCAUUUUUACAACAAUCAAGGUCAAGGAACAGAACGCCUGGAUCCACCAUACAUGAGUGAAAAAGGAUCCAGAAAGUGUUUGGAAAGUUACACCGGGUGAUAAUGAACUGAAAUUAAAGUUUACUUGGGAAAACAAGUACAUGGUAAGAAGAAAUGUUAAUCUAGUUUGUAUUUAUAAUGACUUUGUUUCAAAGAAUUGCAAGUACAAUUUGGAAAUUUGCGGUCUUCACAAUCAUAGCUAUGACCACAACUGAAGUUAAUGCAAUACCACAUAUGUACAAUGCAACUGAUAUAUACACUUGUCGAGGAAAAGCUUAUGACUUUUACUCCUGUAAGCCUCUGUCAAAAAUGCUGAGAGUCACAAAUGCAUCUGUUUGGGAAGGGAGAAAUGUCUGGGGAUGUGAAUAUGCCUUUGUUCAGGAUGGGUUCCAUGAAUUCUACCAAGAACCAAUGGAACUCAUCUGGAUUAGCCCUGAAUGUUGUGACGAAUGCUUAAGCAACUGUCCUGAAUUCAGACUCAGAAUAGAAGGAUGUGCAGACAGGAACUAUAGAAUUGACUAUAAUAUAACUCAAGUCUGUGUUGUUCCUUGGAAGCAUAGAAUUAGAACAACCAGAACAACCAAUUAGCCUCUACCAAGACAGACUGCCCAUAAUCAGACUACACUCAUCCAGAUCCUAAAAGAGAAAAUUUGACCUAUAGUUAACAAAAUUGGACCAUAUGCUAUUAAAAAGACUGGAAUCCAAAGGGUACUGCUUAAUCCAGAAUGGUCCCUGAAGCAAGUAGAAAUGGCAAUGCAGGUAAAUGCUUCUGCCAUUAAACUGGAAUGUACCUCAUUUCUUAAGACCUCUUUUAUGGAUGAGACCACUUGGUUACAGAAGGGUACACCAUAUACGCUCAGACGAAAAAGAGAUUUGACUGGAUUAUUAUAAAAGGGACUGGGGGUUUUGAAUACAAUGGAUUCAGAGGUAUUAAUGAGCAAAUUAGCUGCAGCUGGUAGUGACACAAUUAAGUUACAACAGCCUUUACAAUCUCCUUUAUUAGCUUUAGGUACCACCCAGUGGAAAGUGUCCAAGAUAUUACCAGAAUGGGAAAAUAUAGAAGAAUGGGACCAUGAAUUGACAAUCAACACCUUGAGUACAGCUACUGAGAAUAUUUCUUUAGCUCUUAGGUGUGUACAAGCACAAUUGUGGAUGCCAUCAGUGGCUGCCUCAGUUAUUAAGGAAAGUGGAGAAGGCACCUUUCCUGCUGAGAUCUGCAAAAUUGUUUGGGAUAAUUCUUCUGACUUAGAAAGAGAACUUCAAUCUUAGUGGGUUUUGGUCAAUUUCACCUAUGAUCCUGUCACAAGUGCAGUGACUGCUUUUGUUUUCACUAUAUAUUUCACUAUACAUAAUGCAUCAGUGGAUUUAAUAUACCCAAUAGUCGCUUUAAGGUUGAAUCAUGAAGGAACUGUACUGUAUCCUUCUGAACACAGAACACGGGCACAGAAAGUUGGAGGGAACUAUUAAUAUAGAGUCAUGUGCCACAAGAAGACAAUUAGGAUUUAUAUGUGAAAAAAAAUGAAUAACUAUCAAGAUACUUGUCUGGAUACAGAACAAAGCAUUUGUCACUUUGAGGUUCAUUCAGUCAACCAGACAACCCUGCUUGUGUGUAUAAGUUAAGGUUGUGCAUGCCUCAGAGCAGCAUGCUCCACUAUAGUGGUGGACAAGCUCACCAUAAAUGAAACACAAUGUAAUCUGUGCAUUUGUAACUUUGCCAAAAUUGAAGGAUGUGAUUUCUCCUAUCGGGCACCUGCUGUAUCACAUCAGUAUCUAAAGGCAAAUUUGACUACUGUGCAAGAAAUAUCACCUGUGCCUAUUGGAAUGAAUUUAACCUUAGUCAAACAGUUAUUGAAACAUGAGGAUCUAAAGGAAAUUCUUGAAGAAAUUAAAAUUAUGGGAAAGAAGACCUGACUUACAAUACAUCAAGACAAAGAGACGAUACGGAGGGUCUUUAAAAGGUUAGAGGAAGAUAUGUCUCACCAUUAGUGGGAUGUACUUUUUGGAUGGUCACCAAAACCAAUGGGUAUACUUAAUGCUUUAGUUAAUCUAAUUAUUGUUUUAUUGAUUUUAGUUAGCAUAAGUUUGAUUUUGUCUGUUGCAAUGCUUGUUUAGAAUUUGAGGAUGCUACAAAGAGUGGCAACCUUAACUUCGUUAUCAAAAAGAUAUGGCGUGGUUUUAAGAGAUUCUUGUCGCAUUACUCGGUUAGAUGAAGAAGAAUCUAUAUAUUAGUAAAAGAAUUUACUAACUUCGCAGAGAAACAGGGGAAUGAAUCAAGAAGUUAAGUUAGAAAUGUAGCUAAUAAAGGUGAAGGGUUUACCAUGAGGAAGACUUCUUACUUCAUCUUCAGAAGCCCACUGACCCAUUUCAAAGCCCUCUGACCCCACUAAAGCAGAUGACUGCGCAGCCGUAAUGAACAUUCAGCUCAUUGCAAUACCAAGCGGGAGCAGGUGAUGCAUAUGUAUGGGCGUUUUGGAUGUCUUUAUGAAUAUGUAGAGCUUUUGCAGAUAUAUGGAGAAGCUACAGUUUUGGAAAUUCGCACAUGUCUUUGGAGGACUGCCUCCCAGUGUGCCCAGCAUGCUGAAUAAACAUGCCACUUCUCAACUUCAAUUAGUUGAAGAGUCUUCUGUCCAUGCACCAGCUGUACUGCUGUGAAGGUCUCCUGAGCCCAGAAGCCAUAAGGCUGUAUUCCUCUACUGCUUGGCUCUGUACGUUCUAGUUCAUCCAACACCUGAUUAAUCCACAACCCAUAUAAACCAUACAAAUAAUCAGGAGACAAAUGCUGCUUGUUUUUUUCUGGAGGUCAUAGUGCUUUUUAUGGACUUCAGAAAUUCGCUGUUUAUUUCAACAGACCACAGGGCCUAAGUUUGGAAAGAUUUAAACAAUUGUUCUUUAUCUUUGUAGACUGUAACUCAAUACUGUUUUGGUUUUUUUUCUGUUAAAGGCAGGCCUGCCAAUACCAACUCUAAAAGAUAUUCAUUCCUUUACUUCAGCUGUGGUCUAGAAAGUAGUUUUGUGUUAGCUCUCAGAAAUACACAAUGGUUGUAUUAUGAAUUUCUGGAUAAUCAAAAUAAUUGUUAAUCAAAAUAUUGUUAUCUUGCCCUAAGAGAGGGGUUGUAUUUUUCUUAUAUAUGAACUGUAUCUUUUACAUAAAGAAGGUGACAGGACCUCAACUUCCAAGCUCUGUGUACACACAUGGGUGUGUGUAGACAACAAGGAAACAAUAAACGAUGAAGUUUUCCUUCCUUUUUGCUUUCAGCAGUUGGCAAAAUUUGCAGCAACACGUAGAAGAAACAAUUGAUUAGUUCUGAAUUUACUACUGCCAA